UUUGAGUUGUUUCUUUUCAUUUUGUAUUCAUUGUUGAGCUUAAUUUAAGCAUUAAAACCAUGUCAAAAUUCGCUGAAUCGAGACCAGCACAAACCACAACCCAAAACAGUACACAAACCAGUCAAAACCCUCCUAUAGCUAAUCCGAAGUCUGCAUAUUACCCACAUUAUACUGACCACCCUGGUUCAGUAGUUAUCAACCCCGAACUUACAACCAAUAAUUACAUCACCUGGAGUAGGUAUUUCCUACUUGCUCUUUCCAUUAGAAACAAGAUUGGGUUUAUCAAUGGAACCAUACCUAAGCCAGAAAUCACAGAUCCCCUUUUCCAGUCAUGGACCCGUUGCAAUAAUCUUAUUGUGGGGUGGCUACUGGAAUCAAUCUCUCAACCAGUUGCCUCAACCAUAUUUUAUAUGGAUUCUGCCUAUAAAAUGUGGAAUACACUCAAACAAAAUUUUGCUCAACCUGACGACACUAGAGUCUGUAACUUACAGUACAUUCUAGGGAAUAUUACUGAAGGGACUAGGACAGUUGAUGCAUAUUUUAUAGAGUUGAAGGGAUUUUGGGAAGAAAUGAGAAACUAUAGUCCAUUGUUUCAUUGUGAAUGUGGGAGCUGCAAUCCUGUUUGUUUCAAAAAAUAUUCUAACCAAUAUCAUAAAGAUAUGGUAUUCAGGUUCUUAAAUGGCUUGAAUGAGUCCCUUGUAGCAAUUAGAUCCCAAAUUAUUCUCAUGGAUCCCAUCCCUGCACUGGACAAAGUAUACAGUUUAAAAUUGAGGGAAAAGUCCCAGAGAAAUGUUAUGAUACAGCCUUAGCCAACAACUGCAUCAUCUGUUAUGAUGGUUAGUGUAGAAAACAAAAGGAAAUGGAAAAAGGAUAUAGUAUGUAACUAUUGUGGGAAAGAGGACACACCAAAGAUAAGUGCUUCAGAAUCAUUAGCUUUCCAGAGGAUUUUAAAUUCACAAAAGGGAAGGGAAAUAACAAGGAAGGAAAGGCUGCAGUAAAUAAUGUAUCUGGGAGCUAUGAAACAAUCACUGGAGAGGAGACUUAAGUAGAGCAAGAAGAGGCUUUGGUUGGAACAGGCUCCAUGUCUCAACUAUCAGUCCUACAGCAGCAGGUAAACAAGAUCAUGAACCUCCUGAAUGUGAAUGAUAUAAAUGGAAGAGUUGGUAAGAACUCAACAGCACCUCAAACUACCAAACACUUACUAGCCAAUUCAGCGUUUGCAGGAGAUUCCUUCAUGGAAGGUGAUUGAGGUUGGUGUAGCCUGCUCAGGACUUUAUCUGAUGCAAGAGAAUCAAGAUGAGCAAAGUUUAUCAAAAAUCUGUUUUGAAAAUUUUGCAAAGACCCCAAAAAUUUCCUCUGUUGCUGUUUCAAAGACGGGGUACAACUUUUUUGAUCUAUGGCACUUUAGGUUAAGCCAUAUCCCUGUUGAAAGAAUUAAUCUAAUUCAUCAAAGACUUCCUGAUGUGAAAUGCACAAAUGACUUGUUUUGUGAGGAAGAAAGUAGAGACAUCUCUCGGAGCGACCCAUAUAAUACCCCAUAGAUUGCAGCAACUCAUCCAUUAUUAUUAUUGUUUACAAUAUAAAUAUUGUUUACUAAAAAUGGGUGUCUACGAUCUAAUUGAAUUUGAUGUGUUUGCUUUCCUUUUUUGAUCAAAUGUUAAUUUAAUGUUUUGCAUUUAGCUUCUUCAGCUUUUUGGAUACCUGGUGAUUUUUGUGAACUGGCAAAUUUUUUUUGGUAAUAUCGCUGGGUCCUCUGACCAAAUCUACCUACUGGUUUUUGGGUGAGUUUCUGUGCUAUACCAAGUCAUUAACGAUUCAAGAGGGUGAUGAUCAUGAGGGUAAUCUCAUGGAAGGUCAGGGGUCUAGGCAGUGGUAUUAAGCUUCGCAUGGCCAGAAUUGGUGGGUUUGACCAAGGCAGAGAUGGUGUUGCCACAAGGAACAAAAUUGAAUGACAGUAAAUAUGGGUUCUGUUUUUCUGGAGUUUAUGUGGUGGUGCCACCAUGGGCCAUGCCAUUGUCAUUUUCUGCUGAUUUGCCUCUCUGUCUGCUAUGCUGGUGGCAUCCUUAUGAUGUUCAACAAGCCUUCUCUAUGACUUCACUUUUCGCAGAUUUGGUUACCUUGAUGUAGUAAUUUUAUUACGAUGGGGAGCUAGUAUGGUGGUGAAUCGCUGGGGCUGAUUUUAUGUAUAUAUCUAUGAUUCCCAAUGUUGUCUACUUCAUUAUCUGAUGCAGGGGAGUCCUCUGUGUUGUGGUUAUUUGUCUCUGUCAAUGGGUGUGUAUGGACUUUUAAGGCCUCUCUGUUCAUGUCGGUUUAGGGUGGUUCAGGGCUUUGUGCCCCCGAGGGAUGUCUUUACAUCCUCUUUCCAGGGUCGUUGCGUUUCAUUUGCUUAGACCUUGGCUUUGUAACUCAAUAAUACUAUAAAUAAAAUGAUACCAGUUCAC